rnacentral:tRNA from 7 species
GCUCCCGUGGCGAAAUUGGUAAACGCUUCCGUUUGAGGGACGAAAUUUUUACUCUUUCAACUCCUGUCGGGAGUACCA